rnacentral:rRNA from 1 species
GGUAUUCUGAUGCUUAUUGCACCACAUGUGUUUUUCUUUGAAACAAACUUGCUUUGGCGGUGGGCCCAGCCUGCCGCCAGAGGUCUAAACUUACAACCAAUUUUUUAUCAACUUGUCACACCAGAUUAUUACUUAAUAGUCAAAACUUUCAACAACGGAUCUCUUGGUUCUCGCAUCGAUGAAGAACGCAGCGAAAUGCGAUACGUAAUAUGAAUUGCAGAUAUUCGUGAAUCAUCGAAUCUUUGAACGCACAUUGCGCCCUCUGGUAUUCCGGAGGGCAUGCCUGUUUGAGCGUCGUUUCUCCCUCAAACCGCUGGGUUUGGUGUUGAGCAAUACGACUUGGGUUUGCUUGAAAGACGGUAGUGGUAAGGCGGGAUCGCUUUGACAAUGGCUUAGGUCUAACCAAAAACAUUGCUUGCGGCGGUAACGUCCACCACGUAUAUCUUCAAACUUUGACCUCAAAUCAGGUAGGACUACCCGCUGAACUUAAGCAUAUCAAAA